rnacentral:rRNA from 1 species
UAGGGAAUCUUCGGCAAUGGACGAAAGUCUGACCGAGCAACGCCGCGUGAGUGAAGAAGGUUUUCGGAUCGUAAAACUCUGUUGUUAGAGAAGAACAAGGACGUUAGUAACUGAACGUCCCCUGACGGUAUCUAACCAGAAAGCCACGGCUAACUACGUGCCAGCAGCCGCGGUAAUACGUAGGUGGCAAGCGUUGUCCGGAUUUAUUGGGCGUAAAGCGAGCGCAGGCGGUUUCUUAAGUCUGAUGUGAAAGGCCCCGGCUCAACCGUGGAGGGUCAUUGGAAACUGGAAGACUUGAGUGCAGAAGAGGAGAGUGGAAUUCCAUGUGUAGCGGUGAAAUGCGUAGAUAUAUGGAGGAACACCAGUGGCGAAGGCGGCUCUCUGGUCUGUAACUGACGCUGAGGCUCGAAAGCGUGGGGAGCAAACAGG